AAACAUGUCUUUUUGAUUAUAAUUUAAGGUUUAAUCUGCUCAAUGAUUAUUUAAAUUGCCGCAGUAUUUUGACUGUGCAAAGGUAGCAUAAUAAUUAGUUUCUUUAUUGGGAACUGGAAUGAAUGAUUGGACGAGAAAAUUUCUGUCUCUUUAUUAUUUUAAUUGAAUUUUACUUUUAAGUUAAAAGGCUUAAAUUUUAUUAGAGGACGAGAAGACCCUAUAGAGUUUAAUUUUUAUUUAAAUAAUUAUUUUUAGUAUUUAUAUAUAUUAUUUAAAUAAAAAUUUAGUUGGGGUGACUAAAAGAUAAGAAUAACUCUUUUAAUUUUAAUCAAUUAUUUUUGAUUAUAAAAUCUUUAUUUUUAAUUUUAAAAUAAAUUACCUUAGGGAUAACAGCGUAAUUCUUUUUUAAAGUUCUUAUUAAAAGAAGAGUUUGCGACCUCGAUGUUGGAUUAAAAUUAAUUUUAGGUGUAGAAGCUUGAAAAUUAAGUCUGUUCGACUUUUAAAAUUUUACAUGAUCUGAGUUUAAACCGGUGUGAGCCAGGUUGGUUUCUAUCCUUAAUUAUAUAUUAUACUU
rnacentral:rRNA from 1 species